rnacentral:rRNA from 1 species
AGAGUUUGAUCCUGGCUCAGAUUGAACGCUGGCGGCAUGCCUUACACAUGCAAGUCGAACGGCAGCGCGGACUUCGGUCUGGCGGCGAGUGGCGAACGGGUGAGUAAUACAUCGGAACGUACCCUGUUGUGGGGGAUAACUAGUCGAAAGAUUAGCUAAUACCGCAUACGACCUGAGGGUGAAAGCGGGGGACCGCAAGGCCUCGCGCAGCAGGAGCGGCCGAUGUCUGAUUAGCUAGUUGGUGGGGUAAAGGCCCACCAAGGCGACGAUCAGUAGCUGGUCUGAGAGGACGAUCAGCCACACUGGGACUGAGACACGGCCCAGACUCCUACGGGAGGCAGCAGUGGGGAAUUUUGGACAAUGGGGGCAACCCUGAUCCAGCAAUGCCGCGUGUGUGAAGAAGGCCUUCGGGUUGUAAAGCACUUUUGUCCGGAAAGAAAACGCUCUGGUUAAUACCUGGAGUGGAUGACGGUACCGGAAGAAUAAGCACCGGCUAACUACGUGCCAGCAGCCGCGGUAAUACGUAGGGUGCGAGCGUUAAUCGGAAUUACUGGGCGUAAAGCGUGCGCAGGCGGUUUUGUAAGACAGGCGUGAAAUCCCCGAGCUCAACUUGGGAAUUGCGC